UCCAGGCGGAANCUUACGCGGUUAGCUGCGANACUGAGAGGGAGCCUGCCAACAACCAGUUGUACAUCGUUUAGGGCGUGGACUACCAGGGUAUCUAAUCCUGUUUGCUCCCCACGCUUUCGCGCCUGAGCGUCAGUGUAGGGCCAGGGGACUGCCUUCGCCACCGGUGUUCCUCCGCAUAUCUACGCAUUUCACUGCUACACGCGGAAUUCCAUCCCCCUCUGUCGCACUCUAGACAUGGAGUCACAAAUGCAGUUCCCAGGUUGAGCCCGGGGAUUUCACAUCUGACUUNCAUAACCGCCUGCGCGCGCUUUACGCCCAGUAAUUCCGAAAAACGCUCGCACCCUACGUAUUACCGCGGCUGCUGGCACGUAGUUAGCCGGGGCUUAUUCUUCGGGUACAGUCAUUAUCCCCAGGUAUUAAAGAGGAAUAUUUCUUCCCUGACNUAAUCGGUUUACAACCCGGAGGGGAUCUUGCUUGACGCGCAUAUGGCUAGAUNACGCUUUCGCCCAUUGUCCAAAAUUCCCCACUGCUGCCUCCCGUA
rnacentral:rRNA from 1 species